rnacentral:rRNA from 1 species
AUACGUAGGUGACAAGCGUUAUCCGGAUUUACUGGGCGUAAAGGGCGUGUAGGCGGUCUUGCAAGUCAGAAGUGAAAUUCCUGAGCUCAACUCGGGCGCUGCUUCUGAAACUGCAGGACUUGAGUGCUGGAGGGGAUAGCGGAAUUCCUAGUGGAGCGGUAAAAUGCGCAGAUAUUAGGAAGAACACCGGUGGCGAAGGCGACUAUUUGGACAUAAACGGACUCUGAGGCGCGAAAGCGGGGGGAGAAAACAGGAUUAGUUACCCUGGUAGGCCACGCCGUAAACGAUGAAUACUAGGUGUAGGGGGUAUCGACUCCCUCUGUGCCGCAGUUAACACAAUAAUUAUUCCGCCUGGGGAGUACGGCCUCAAGGUUGAAACUCAAAGGAAUUGACGGGU